GAAUAUUGGACAAUGGCUCACGCCUGAUCCAGCCAUGCYGCGUGCAGGAAGACAGCCUAUGGGUUGUAAACUGCUAUUAUACGGGAAGAAUAAGGGCACGUGUGCCCUGGUGACGGUACCGUAAGAAUAAGGACCGGCUAACUCCGUGCCAGCAGCCGCGGUAAUACGGAGGGUCCGAGCGUUAUCCGGAAUCAUUGGGUUUAAAGGGUCUGCAGGCGGGCAAUUAAGUCAGGGGUGAAAUGGUACGGCUCAACCGUAGCACUGCCCUUGAUACUGGUUGUCUUGAGUCAUAGUGGAGUGGCCGGAAUAUGUAGUGUAGCGGUGAAAUGYAUAGAU
rnacentral:rRNA from 1 species